GACGAACGCUGGCGGCGUGCUUAACACAUGCAAGUCGAACGGAAAGGCCCUGCUUUUGUGGGGUGCUCGAGUGGCGAACGGGUGAGUAACACGUGAGUAACCUGCCCUUGACUUUGGGAUAACUUCAGGAAACUGGGGCUAAUACCGGAUAGGAGCUCCUGCUGCAUGGUGGGGGUUGGAAAGUUUCGGCGGUUGGGGAUGGACUCGCGGCGUAUCAGCUUGUUGGUGGGGUAGUGGCUUACCAAGGCGAUGACGGGUAGCCGGCCUGAGAGGGUGAACGGCCACAUUGGGACUGAGACACGGCCCAGACUGCUACGGGAGGCAGCAGGGGGGAAUCUUCCGCAAUGGACGAAAGUCUGACGGAGCAACGCCGCGUGAGUGAUGACGGCCGUCGGGUUGUAAAGCUCUGUUAAUCGGGACGAAAGGCCUUCUUGCGAAUAGUGAGAAGGAUUGACGGUACCGGAAUAGAAAGCCACGGCUAACUACGUG
rnacentral:rRNA from 1 species